CCGGUGGCGGUUCCCGGCAGAGCCCCGGCGGUGGGCGGGGGGAUGCGGGGUCCCCCCCCGCGGUGGGGGUUGGUCUUGUUGGAAAUGAUCCAACUUGCCUCAAAUUGUAGUCAGUGGCAGCAGUUGACCGGGUUUCUUUUCACGGGCUCUUGUCGCUUUGAUCUUUAAAGCACCCAAACUUGGAGUUUCUCUGCACUGGCUCUGAUGAGCUUCCAUAAACAAAGCCCGAGGGAGCUGAAGAUUGGACAUCUGGGAUCUUAAAUUCCUGGUCCUUCAAGGACAUGUUGGAGGAACCAGAAGGUCCAGAGGGGAUUAACAAAGACAUUGCAGUCUGAGAGUUGGAGACUCUGUGUCUGAGGAGGAGUGCUAAGAGGACCAAAGAAAGUGGACCAAAUUAGCCAGUUAAGGAUAGAAUACUGAUUAGAGUCUUAAUUAAUGAAGAUAAUUCCUUAGUUCAUUAAUUGGGGUAAAUUAGAAGCAAUGAACAUUAAUUUGUUUGUUUGUUCAAAUGUAUAAAUGUGUGAAAAGUCUGGAAAGGGACAGGCGUGGCUGGAACGAUUGGCUCCCUGUCUCUGGGAGCCAGAACAAAGCAGUGCCUGGCUCACCAACACUUCCCAGGGGCGUUGGAGGGUUUCAUUUCUUCCCAACGCUUUUCAGGGACAAUUCUUGGUGAGCCAGGUGGGACAAUGCUGUCGACCCUCCAGGGAUUCCGGGACCCUGAGGACUCCAGCGAGCAGUGAAAAUAUUCUUCUGGGAGAUCUCAGUCCCUGGAUCUGGGAUCCUGAGGAGGGUGAAGCCCUUCUGUGCAGGACAUGGAGAUGGUCCCUGGCCUGUCCAAAUGCAUUAAAUGCUGCUGCUGAAGGAGCCCCCCCAGUGAUUUUAUCUGCAUUGACCCCCUGGAGCCCACGGGCACCUGCUCCUGCCUGGACAGAAACCAGGAGCUUCCUUGGACUGGUGUCCCCCAGGAAGGACGUUUUCCCCCCUGUUUCUGAGGCUUUUAAUAGUCUUUGAUCAAUAAAUAUUUCUCCAUGGGA